CCUACGGGUGGCAGCAGUGGGGAAUAUUGGGCAAUGGGCGCAAGCCUGACCCAGCAGCGCCGCGUGAAGGAAGAAGGCUUUCGGGUUGUAAACUUCUUUUCUCAGGGACGAAGCAAGUGACGGUACCUGGGGAAUAAGCCACGGCUAACUACGUGCCAGCAGCCGCGGUAAUACGUAGGUGGCAAGCGUUAUCCGGAUUUACUGGGUGUAAAGGGCGUGUAGGCGGGAAAGCAAGUCAGAUGUGAAAACCAUGGGCUCAACCUGUGGCCUGCAUUUGAAACUGUUUUUCUUGAGUACUGGAGAGGCAGACGGAAUUCCUAGUGUAGCGGUGAAAUGCGUAGAGAUUAGGAGGAACACCAGUGGCGAAGGCGGUCUGCUGGACAGCAACUGACGCUGAGGCGCGAAAGCGUGGGGAGCAAACAGGAUUAGAUACCCUUGUGGUC
rnacentral:rRNA from 1 species